CUGCUGCCUCCCGUAGGAGUCUGGGCCGUGUCUCAGUCCCAAUGUGGCCGUUCACCCUCUCAGGCCGGCUACUGAUCGUUGCCUUGGUAGGCCAUUACCCCACCAACUAGCUAAUCAGACGCGGAACCAUCGUAUACCACCAGAGUUUUUCACACCGCUUCAUGCGAAGCUGUGCGCUUAUGCGGUAUUAGCACCUAUUUCUAAGUGUUAUCCCCCAGUAUACGGCAGGUUUUCCACGCGUUACUCACCCGUCCG
rnacentral:rRNA from 1 species